GAUGUAUUUAUGCUUAUUAUAUAGAUAUGAAUAUUAGUUUUACUUGUAUCAACCAGUAUCUACUCAUGAACUUUGCAUAUUUUUCAAAAGAAUUUGGGUAAUGCCAGGCGGUUUCCCUUGCGAUAUGGCCGUUAUAGGCCUGUUCCCAACAAAAAAAAGAUAUGGAGUUUCCAGCAUCUUGAUUCAUAUCAACAUAAAAAAGGAUUUCUGAAAAUAAGUUAUUAUUGGAGUUUAGAGUCUUAAAAAAAUUUCCCAUAACACUUUUUUUACCCAAAACAGAUCAACUUAUUAGAUUGUAGAGAAAUAGGCCAAAUUUCCA
rnacentral:misc_RNA from 1 species